rnacentral:rRNA from 1 species
UGCAAGUUGAGCGAAGCUUUUUGGUAGUUUACUACUAGAAAUGACUGAGCGGCGAAAGGGUGAGUAACGCGUGAGCAAUCUACCUUAGUUACUGGGAUAGCCCGAGGAAACUCGGAUUAAUACCGGAUAUUCUUAUUUUUUCACAUGAAGUUUUAAGGAAAGGUCAGCCGAACUAAGAUGAGCUCGCGUUCUAUCAGCUAGUUGGUGGGGUAAAAGCCUACCAAGGCUACGACGGAUAGCUGGUCUGAGAGGACGAUCAGCCACACUGGGACUGAGACACGGCCCAGACUCCUACGGGAGGCUGCAGCAGGGAAUAUUGUGCAAUGAGCGAAAGCUUGACACAGCGACACCGCGUGUGGGAUGACGGUUCUAGGAUUGUAAACCACUUUCAGGAGGGAAGAAAAUGACGGUACCUCCACAAGAAGACCCGGCCAACUAUGUGCCAGCAGCCGCGGUAAUACAUAGGGGUCAAGCGUUGUCCGGAUUUAUUGGGCGUAAAGAGCUCGUAGGCGGUUCAACAAGUCGGUCGUAAAAGUUUAGGGCUCAACCCUAAAAUGUCGAUCGAUACUGUUGUGACUAGGAUACGGUAGAGGUGAAUGGAAUUCCGAGUGUAGCGGUGAAAUGCGUAGAUAUUCGGAGGAACACCAAUUGCGAAGGCAGUUCACUGGACCGUGAUCGACGCUGAGGAGCGAAAGCUAGGGGAGCAAACAGGAUUAGAUACCCUGGUAGUCCUAGCUGUAAACGAUGGAUACUAGAUGUAGGAACUGGAUUGACGGUUUCUGUAUCGUAGCUAACGCGUUAAGUAUCCCGCCUGGGAGUA